AACUUACUAAAUUCUUGGAAACUCCGAAUACAAAAAAACGUUAUUUAAAUAGACAGACAUUAGGCGCUAAGGUCUUUUGUCAAGAGGGAAACAGCCCAGAUUGAUCGCUAAGGUCUCUAAAUAAUAUUCUAAGUGAAAAAGGAAGUAAAAAAAUAAUGACAACCAGUAGGUAGGCUUGGAAGCAGCCAUCCUUUAAAGAAAGCGUAAUAGCUCAUUGGUCUAGUUUUUUUGCGCCUAAAAUGUAUCGAGACUUAAGAAAUUUACCGAAGCGGCAAGUUUUAUGAAAAAAUAAAACGGUAGCGGAACAUUCUGUAAAUUAAUAAAGAUAUAUUGUGAAAUAUAUUGAAGAUAUCAGAAAAGAAAAUGCUGGCAUUAGUAACAAAAAAUAAUGACUAUUAAUCAUUAUCACCGUAAAUCCAAGGGUUUCUAUGUUAAAAUGAAUUCUAUAGAGUGAAACGGCCCCUAAGAAAGAUUUGACGAAAGCAAAUUUUGAUGGGAUAAUUUUUAAAUUAAAUUUUUUAAAAAAAGUGACAAAAAUUUUAAAUUUUUCAGGAAAUAGCUUUUUUAAUUAAAAACCGUACCCUAAACCGACACAGGUGGAUAGGUCGAGUAGACUAAGGUGAAUGAGAGAACUAUGUUGAAGGAACUCGGCAAAAUGACUUUGUAACUUCGGGAUAAAAAGUACCUAAUUUAACUAAUUAGGUGGCACAGAAUAGGGGGUUGCGACUGUUUAAUAAAAACUUAGGACUCUGCUAAAUGGUAACAUGAUGUAUAGGGUCUGACACCUGCCCGGUGCUGGAAGAUUAAAAGGAAAUGUUUACGCAUUGAAUGGAAGUCCCAGUAAACGGCGGCCGUAACUCUGACGGUCCUAAGGUAGCGAAAUUCCUUGUCGGGUAAGUUCCGACCUGCAUGAAUGGUGUAACGACAUCCCCGCUGUCUCCAACAUUGACUCAGUGAAUUUGAAAUAUCCGUGAAGAUGCGGAUUUUCUAUAGUUAGACGGAAAGACCCCGUGAACCUUUACUACAUCUUUAUAUGGUUAUUUUAUCUAAUAUGUGUAGUAUAAGUGGUAAUCGUUUAGACCUUUACGCUAGUAAAUUGUUUAGAUAUCUUUGAAAUACCACUCUUAUUAAAAUAAAUAACUAAUAUUUUUUAAAUAGACAGUGUAUGGUUGGUAGUUUGACUGGGGCGGUCACCUCCUAAAGAGUAACGGAGGUGUACAAAGGUAAGCUCAAAUUGGAUAAUUUUAUCAAUUGUAGAGUAUAAUGGUAAAAGCUUGCUUGACUGUAAGAUAGACAUAUCAAACAGGGACGAAAGUCGGUCAUAGUGAUCCGAUAAUUCUUUGUGGAAAGAUUAUCGCUCAACGGAUAAAAGGUACUCCGGGGAUAACAGGCUAAUGACUCCUAAGAGCUCCUAUCGACGGAGUCGUUUGGCACCUCGAUGUCGACUCAUCACAUCCUGGAGCUGAAGAAGGUUCCAAGGGUUCGGCUGUUCGCUGAUUAAAGUGGUACGUGAGUUGGGUUUAGAACGUCGUGAGACAGUUUGGUUCCUAUCUUCUAUAGAUAUUUUGAAAAAUGAAAGAAUCUAACUCUAGUACGAGAGGACCGAGAAGGGUAAAUCUCUGGUGUAUCGGUUGUUUAAAAGCAUUGCCGAGUAGCUAAAUUUAUUUUGGAUAAUUACUGAAAGCAUCUAAGUAAGAAACCGUUCUUAAAAAUUUUUCAUAAAAAAACUGUAAAAGAUGAUUACAUAGAUAGGUUUUAAGUGUAAGUAUUGUAAAAUAUUUAGCUUUAAAAUACUAAAAGUUUACAAAAUUUAAAUAU
rnacentral:rRNA from 1 species